rnacentral:rRNA from 1 species
CCUACGGGUGGCAGCAGUGGGGAAUAUUGCACAAUGGGCGCAAGCCUGAUGCAGCCACGCCGCGUGUGUGAAGAAGGCCUUCGGGUUGUAAAGCACUUUCAGCGGGGAGGAAGGCGGUGAGGUUAAUAACCUCAUCGAUUGACGUUACCCGCAGAAGAAGCACCGGCUAACUCCGUGCCAGCAGCCGCGGUAAUACGGAGGGUGCAAGCGUUAAUCGGAAUUACUGGGCGUAAAGCGCACGCAGGCGGUCUGUCAAGUCGGAUGUGAAAUCCCCGGGCUCAACCUGGGAACUGCAUUCGAAACUGGCAGGCUAGAGUCUUGUAGAGGGGGGUAGAAUUCCAGGUGUAGCGGUGAAAUGCGUAGAGAUCUGGAGGAAUACCGGUGGCGAAGGCGGCCCCCUGGACAAAGACUGACGCUCAGGUGCGAAAGCGUGGGGAGCAAACAGGAUUAGAUACCCUUGUAGUC